rnacentral:rRNA from 1 species
UACGUAGGGUGCGAGCGUUGUCCGGAAUUAUUGGGCGUAAAGGGCUCGUAGGCGGUCUGUUACGUCGGGAGUGAAAACUCGGGGCUCAACCCCGAGCCUGCUUCCGAUACGGGCAGACUAGAGGUAUGCAGGGGAGAAUAGAAUUCCUGGUGUAGCGGUGAAAUGCGCAGAUAUCAGGAGGAACACCGGUGGCGAAGGCGGUUCUCUGGGCAUUACCUGACGCUGAGGAGCGAAAGUGUGGGGAGCGAACAGG